CACGGCCCUUAUCGAAGCUGCAGCUGCUUCCGCGUAGCCGCUGUGGUCAAAGAGGACCCCAGAGUGAAUUUCUCGGAGGGUCGCCGUCAGGCCUGCCUUGGCAGGUCUGCAACAUUGUGGGGAAAGACAGCU
rfam:Tupaia chinensis contig77928, whole genome shotgun sequence.